rnacentral:pre_miRNA from 1 species
AGUGCACCAGUGGGGUCCCUCAGCCUGGCCUGUGCCCUCUCGCAAUCCGGGACCCCUCGGGGGAUGUCAUAGAGCUGGUUUCAGCCUGAUACCCGCAGGCCAGGCUGAGGGACCCCACUGGUGCAUG